GCCCUAGUGGUCUAGUAGUUAAGAUUUGGUGCUCUCACCCCCAUGGCCCAGGUUCGUUUCCUGGCCAAGGAA
rnacentral:tRNA from 1 species